rnacentral:rRNA from 1 species
CCUACGGGAGGCAGCAGUGGGGAAUAUUGCGCAAUGGGCGAAAGCCUGACGCAGCGACGCCGCGUGAGGGAUGAAGGUUCUCGGAUCGUAAACCUCUGUCGGAAGGGAAGAAAUUAUAUCAUGCUAAUCAGUGGUGUAUUGACGGUACCUGCAAAGGAAGCACCGGCUAACUCCGUGCCAGCAGCCGCGGUAAUACGGAGGGGGCGAGCGUUAAUCGGAAUUACUGGGCGUAAAGAGCACGUAGGCUGUAUUACAAGUCAAGGGUGAAAUGCUAAGGCUCAACCUUGGAACUGCCUUUGAAACUGUCAAACUGGAGUAUGUGAGAGGACUGCAGAAUUCCUGGUGUAGGAGUGAAAUCCGUAGAUAUCAGGAGGAAUAUCAGUGGCGAAGGCGGCCGCCUGGCACAAAACUGACGCUGAGGUGCGAAAGCGUGGGUAGCAAACAGGAUUAGAUACCCUGGUAGUC